rnacentral:misc_RNA from 1 species
UACUGGCAGGAUCAACCAGGUAGCAUUCCUUCGCGACGCCGACGCCCGCAUGAGGCCCGACGAGCCGUGCGGCCCUCGGACGCUCAAGACGGGCGCGGCAGUCGUUCGUGUCGAGGGACGAAAUGCGUUGCUUGGGCAAACGNAGGCCGAGAGACCCCGCACCCGCGCAUAACAUUCUGCAUCCGAGAGCACGGGCAGAGCAACUCAUGGGCCNGGGCAACCACGCAAGCGGGGCGAGGCAUGCCAGGAACACGAGGCUCGCCUUGCGUCCACCCCACCACCCGCGAGGGCAUGGGGCG